rnacentral:rRNA from 1 species
GAUGAACGCUGGCGGCGUGCCUAAUGCAUGCAAGUCGAGCGAACAGACGAGGAGCUUGCUCCUCUGACGUUAGCGGCGGACGGGUGAGUAACACGUGGAUAACCUACCUAUAAGACUGGGAUAACUUCGGGAAACCGGAGCUAAUACCGGAUAAUAUAUUGAACCGCAUGGUUCAAUAGUGAAAGACGGUUUUGCUGUCACUUAUAGAUGGAUCCGCGCCGCAUUAGCUAGUUGGUAAGGUAACGGCUUACCAAGGCAACGAUGCGUAGCCGACCUGAGAGGGUGAUCGGCCACACUGGAACUGAGACACGGUCCAGACUCCUACGGGAGGCAGCAGUAGGGAAUCUUCCGCAAUGGGCGAAAGCCUGACGGAGCAACGCCGCGUGAGUGAUGAAGGUCUUCGGAUCGUAAAACUCUGUUAUUAGGGAAGAACAAAUGUGUAAGUAACUACGCACGUCUUGACGGUACCUAAUCAGAAAGCCACGGCUAACUACGUG